UAAGGUGGCGAACGGCUGAGUAACACGUGGGCAACCUGCCCUUUGCACUGGGAUAGCCUCGGGAAACCGAGGUUAAUACCGGAUACUCCAUAUUUGUCGCAUGGCGAAUAUGGGAAAGCUCCGGCGGCAAAGGAUGGGCCCGCGGCCUGUUAGCUAGUUGGUGGGGUAGUGGCCUACCAAGGCAAUGAUGGGUAGCCGGGUUGAGAGACCGACCGGCCAGAUUGGGACUGAGACACGGCCCAGACUCCUACGGGAGGCAGCAGCU
rnacentral:rRNA from 1 species